rnacentral:rRNA from 1 species
GGAUGCGAUCAUACCAGCACUAAAGCACCGGAUCCCAUCAGAACUCCGAAGUUAAGCGUGCUUGGGCGAGAGUAGUACUAGGAUUGGGGACCUCCUGGGAAGUCCUCGUGUUGCAUUCC